AUUCGUGGAUCUUUAUUGAUAUGCCUUGUGUAAUUGAUCCUAAACUAACUUCAAACCUGCUGCCAAUUUGACUGGUCUGAAUUUCGAUGCAUGAACACAAUUGGAAAAAUAAAUUUUGUUUCCACCCUCCCCCCUACCCCAGGAAAAGAAGAAGAAAAAUCUAGAGUUUGACUAAGCUGCUGGGUGUUGGGUUGCAAAAGUGAGGUUUUUUUUGUUUUCUUGAGCAGUAUUUGAAUUGAGAUGUGGAGGUGAGACCAGGUAAUCGCUUUCUUUUCUCCUUUUGUCAUGAAGCAGGGAUAGAACAAUGGGUGUUAUUUGAAAACUGCCCUUCUAACCUUUGCUGCUCUUAAAAUGCCUUCAGGUCAUCGCAAGGUUCUUAGCAGCGUUUUAAUUUUUUGAUUUAAUAUUUAACUUCUGAGAGAAUUGCUUAGAAACAUUUACCUUAUUGAUGCUGUGGGACAGAAGUGGUUAGAUAAUGGUGACUCUUGGUGACAAUAAGGGAUUUUACAGCAUAUUUGGGGAAGUGAUUAAAAAUGGGAUUGUCAUAGUUCACCUGGAAAACUUUUAAAAUUCUUUCAUCUUUAAAACAUCUAAUGUUGGAAGUAUAUUUUAGCGUUAAAGAUAGGAAUUUGUCUGGAGCUUUGAUUUGUGAAAUGCAUUCUGCUUUAUACAAACUUAUAGAACACUUUGGAUUAUUAUCAUCCAGUGUGAAUGUACAUCACAGUUGUUUCAUAAAUAUUUUAAGAUUCUCUUCUUAAUUGCCUGUGUCUACUAGAAAAGGAAUCAUAUUUAAGGCAUUCAAUUCAAGCCAUACCAUAACUUACUAAAACAUGGUCCUGGAUGCUUCUGUGUGUACCUGGAGAGUGCACAGUCACCGGUUCACAGUGCUGAUUUUUCUCAAUUUCUCAUCCUUGUCAGGUCUCAGCUUUGCUCGGCCAGGUUCUUCAGCUGAGUGUGGCAAAGAGAAAAGGAGCGGAGCUGGCCAUUCUCUGGCGCAUUCAGCAGGAUUCCAUAUUGUGUUAGAGGAAUUGGAGUUCCAGACCAUUCUGUAGGCCAAACGGGCAAGCGGUUUCCUCUGACCACUUGGGAAGAAGGCCUGCUGGUAGCGUGUGUGUGUUUUAUUCCUGUUCCCUCUCUGAUUUUGUAAGUGGUUUAUGUGGAUGAUAAAGAAUCUGUGAGAACAGACUUGCCCUUCCCUGCAG
rnacentral:lncRNA from 1 species